rnacentral:rRNA from 1 species
AUACGGAGGGGGCUAGCGUUGUUCGGAAUUACUGGGCGUAAAGCGCGCGUAGGCGGAUUGAUCAGUCAGGGGUGAAAUCCCGGAGCUUAACUCCGGAACUGCCUUUGAUACUGUCAAUCUUGAGUUCGAGAGAGGUGAGUGGAAUUCCUAGUGUAGGGGUGAAAUUCGUAGAUAUUAGGAAGAACACCAGUGGCGAAGGCGGCUCACUGGCUCGAUACUGACGCUGAGGUGCGAAAGCGUGGGGAGCAAACAGGAUUAGAAACCCUAGUAGUCC